rnacentral:rRNA from 9 species
UGGCUCAGAUUGAACGCUGGCGGCAGGCCUAACACAUGCAAGUCGAGCGGUAGAGAGAAGCUUGCUUCUCUUGAGAGCGGCGGACGGGUGAGUAAUGCCUAGGAAUCUGCCUGGUAGUGGGGGAUAACGUUCGGAAACGAACGCUAAUACCGCAUACGUCCUACGGGAGAAAGCAGGGGACCUUCGGGCCUUGCGCUAUCAGAUGAGCCUAGGUCGGAUUAGCUAGUUGGUGAGGUAAUGGCUCACCAAGGCGACGAUCCGUAACUGGUCUGAGAGGAUGAUCAGUCACACUGGAACUGAGACACGGUCCAGACUCCUACGGGAGGCAGCAGUGGGGAAUAUUGGACAAUGGGCGAAAGCCUGAUCCAGCCAUGCCGCGUGUGUGAAGAAGGUCUUCGGAUUGUAAAGCACUUUAAGUUGGGAGGAAGGGCAGUUACCUAAUACGUGAUUGUUUUGACGUUACCGACAGAAUAAGCACCGGCUAACUCUGUGCCAGCAGCCGCGGUAAUACAGAGGGUGCAAGCGUUAAUCGGAAUUACUGGGCGUAAAGCGCGCGUAGGUGGUUUGUUAAGUUGGAUGUGAAAUCCCCGGGCUCAACCUGGGAACUGCAUUCAAAACUGACUGACUAGAGUAUGGUAGAGGGUGGUGGAAUUUCCUGUGUAGCGGUGAAAUGCGUAGAUAUAGGAAGGAACACCAGUGGCGAAGGCGACCACCUGGACUAAUACUGAC